UGCCUCGUCCAUGACACACACGAAACCUCGCCCUUCCCUCCACCCCUUACACCGCCCACCGUCGCUCAAAUAAGGACAACAGAGGUACAGAGGCUUCUCUAAGUAGCUAGCGCACAAUCCACGCCCACAAGGAUGGGCCGAGCAGCAUGACACUGACAGUUUUCGGUCCCUCACGAUCUUUCCAACUCUCGGCACCGCCGCACAACUCAGAAAAAGACCACAUGGCCUGUUCUGCCAAGUCUCACCGGCUAAAGAAAACCCCAAAAUUAGUCCUGAUGGUCCUAGACCGAGAGAUAGAAGAGCGGGCUUGGGGGUGGAGAUGAGUCCGCCCCGAAGAGUCACCAAUCAGCUGUCGUCCAGCCGCCAGAAGAGCAAGUUAAUACUACACAGCUUGGAAGAGACCAGUUCCCAAACAUGCCAGCGGAGAAAUUCAGCCUAGACUCCAGGAGUGCUUGAGGCUUUUAUGACUUCUGGACGUCAAAAAGGGUCUUUUGUGACUGGAUGCUUACCUCACCAGUGUGUGGUUAGCGUCAAAGGCACAAUGAUAUUGAUUUAAAGCCUGUGGAUAACAACAUAAGCUGAUUUUUCUAUCUUAAAACUCUUAGCCAAGAACACUCCUGUCACAGGUGCUGGUACUAGGCCCGCAAAUAAACCACCCAGGUUUUAUUUGCCUCAGUUUUAAAACAGUGGCUAAAAAGCAUUAAAUUUCCUAGUCAACUGGGAAUGACAGGUCUAAAUAACAAAUGGUACUUGAACCGCACUAAGUUGUGUGGGCGUAGAGAAACUUCAGCAAAAGCUUUUGUCAUGUUUAACCCCUGUGUACAGAUAUUUUUCAUGGGAUUUUUCUAUUUAGUUACAUACACAUUUUAAAAUAA